rnacentral:rRNA from 1 species
AUAUUUAGGUGCCUAUAUCGGUGGUGUCCACCUCUUCCCAUUCCGAACAGAGAAGUUAAGCCCACCAGAGCCGAUGGUACUGCGGUAACACGUGGGAGAGUAGGUCGGUGCC